rnacentral:rRNA from 1 species
CCUACGGGUGGCAGCGGUGAGGAAUAUUGGUCAAUGGACGAGAGUCUGAACCAGCCAAGUAGCGUGAAGGAUGACUGCCCUAUGGGUUGUAAACUUCUUUUAUAUGGGAAUAAAAUGUUCCACGUGUGGGAUUUUGUAUGUACCAUAUGAAUAAGGAUCGGCUAACUCCGUGCCAGCAGCCGCGGUAAUACGGAGGAUCCGAGCGUUAUCCGGAUUUAUUGGGUUUAAAGGGUGCGUAGGUGGAUUGUUAAGUCAGUUGUGAAAGUUUGCGGCUCAACCGUAAAAUUGCAGUUGAAACUGGCAGUCUUGAGUACGGGAGAGGUAGGCGGAAUUCGUGGUGUAGCGGUGAAAUGCUUAGAUAUCACGAAGAACUCCGAUUGCGAAGGCAGUUCACUGGACUGCAACUGACACUGAGGCUCGAAAGUGUGGGUAUCAAACAGGAUUAGAUACCCUUGUAGUC